rnacentral:rRNA from 1 species
AUACGUAGGGGGCGAGCGUUGUCCGGAAUGAUUGGGCGUAAAGGGCGCGUAGGCGGCCCGGUAAGUCUGGAGUGAAAGUCCUGUUUUUAAGAUGGGAAUUGCUUUGGAUACUGUCGGGCUUGAGUGCAGGAGAGGUAGGUGGAAUUCCCAGUGUAGCGGUGAAAUGCGUAGAGAUUGGGAGGAACACCAGUGGCGAAGGCGACUUACUGGACUGUAACUGACGCUGAGGCGCGAAAGUGUGGGGAGCAAACAGGAUUAGAUACCCUGGUAGUCCACACUGUAAACGAUGAAUGCUAGGUGUAGGGGGUAUCGACCCCUUCUGUGCCGCAGUCAACACAAUAAGCAUUCCGCCUGGGGAGUACGGCCGCAAGGUUGAAACUCAAAGGAAUUGGCGGGG